rnacentral:sRNA from 1 species
UAAUAAGGAUGAACGGCUAAAAAAAGCGCGUCGUCCUGGCGGCAGACUCAAACCGCGAUGUCCUGUCGCUUCGUCUGCACUAGUACAUCCUGUACGUCGCAACGCCGUUCUGACCAACAUCCUGUUGG